GAACUUUUCUUGCCCACUUUGAUGAGUGUUAUGAAGGUCUUUUUUCACUUCUUUUCGCAACUAGUUUUAGUGACAAAAUAUACUUUAUGUAAAAUUUGCAUUUCAAAAGUUCACUUUUCGCGGUUGUUGCAGAAAACGUUGUAUGCAGCACGUUGCGAAAAGUGUGUUUUCGUCACACAAUGUGGUUAUCAAACGAGCGAAGCGUUAUCUAGUGACGAAAACAACCA